rnacentral:rRNA from 1 species
AUUGAACGCUGGCGGAAUGCUUUACACAUGCAAGUCGAACGGCAGCACGGACUUCGGUCCGCCGGCGAGUGGCGAACGGGUGAGUAAUACAUCGGAACGUACCUAUUAGUGGGGGAUAACUAAGCGAAAGUUUAGCUAAUACCGCAUACGACCUGAGGGUGAAAGCGGGGGAUCUUCGGACCUCGCGCUAAUAGAGCGGCCGAUGGCUGAUUAGCUAGUUGGUGAGGUAAAGGCUCACCAAGGCGACGAUCAGUAGCGGGUCUUAGAGGACGAUCCGCCACACUGGAACUGAGACUCGGUCCAGACUCCAACGGGAGGCAGCAGUGGGGAAUCUUGGACAAUGGGCGAAAGCCUGAUCCAGCAAUGCCGCGUGGGUGAAGAAGGCCUUCGGGUUGUAAAGCCCUUUUGUACGGGAGCAAAUCCUUGUCACUAAUACUGGCUGGGGAUGAGAGUACCGUAAGAAUCAGCACCGGCUAACUACGUGCCAGCCGCCGCCGUAA